UACGUAGGGGGCAAGCGUUGUCCGGAAUCAUUGGGCGUAAAGAGCGUGUAGGCGGCCCGAUAAGUCCGCCGUGAAAGCCCAGGGCUCAACCCUGGGAUGCCGGUGGAUACUGUCGGGCUAGAAUCCGGAAGAGGCGAGUGGAAUUCCUGGUGUAGCGGUGAAAUGCGCAGAUAUCAGGAGGAACACCGAUGGCGAAGGCAGCUCGCUGGGACGGUAUUGACGCUGAGACGCGAAAGCGUGGGGAGCAAACGGG
rnacentral:rRNA from 1 species